rnacentral:rRNA from 1 species
AUUUAGCGGCGGACGGGUGAGUAACACGUGGGCAACCUGCCUUAUAGAGGGGGAUAGCCUUCCGAAAGGAAGAUUAAUACCGCAUAACAUCAUUUUACCGCAUGGUAGUUUGAUCAAAGGAGCAAUCCGCUAUAAGAUGGGCCCGCGGCGCAUUAGCUAGUUGGUGAGGUAACGGCUCACCAAGGCGACGAUGCGUAGCCGACCUGAGAGGGUAAUCGGCCACAUUGGGACUGAGACACGGCCCAGACUCCUACGGGAGGCAGCAGUGGGGAAUAUUGCACAAUGGGGGAAACCCUGAUGCAGCAACGCCGCGUGAGUGAUGAAGGCCUUCGGGUUGUAAAGCUCUGUCUUUGGGGACGAUAAUGACGGUACCCAAGGAGGAAGCCACGGCUAACUACGUGCCAGCAGCCGCGGUAAUACGUAGGUGGCAAGCGUUGUCCGGAUUUACUGGGCGUAAAGGGAGCGUAGGUGGAUAUUUAAGUGGGAUGUGAAAUCCCCGGGCUUAACCUGGGGGCUGCAUUCCAAACUGGAUGUCUAGAGUGCAGGAGAGGAGAGUGGAAUUCCUAGUGUAGCGGUGAAAUGCGUAGAGAUUAGGAAGAACACCAGUGGCGAAGGCGACUCUCUGGACUGUAACUGACACUGAGG